rnacentral:tRNA from 1 species
GGAGCUGUGCCUGACAAAAGGACCACUUUGAUAGAGUGAAUCAUAAGGGUUAGACUCCCUUCAACUCCU